rnacentral:sRNA from 1 species
UUAAUGGUUCACUCGAGGUCACAGGGUCUCUUGGUGGGUGUUUGCCAAAUUACUGUUGAGCAUCUUCACAUAACCAAGCAAGGCUUCCAGGGGCUGACUGGGUUCAGAGCUGUGAGAACUCAUGCGUGUCUGGGAUUUCUAACUUUUUCCCCUCCUCUUCUUCUUCUCUCAUUAGCUUCGCCUCAACAGCAUCAAGAAGCUGUCCACCAUUGCCUUGGCCCUUGGGGUCGAAAGGACCCGAAGUGAGCUUCUGCCUUUCCUUACAGAUACCAUCUAUGAUGAAGAUGAGGUCCUCCUGGCCCUGGCAGAACAGCUGGGAACCUUCACUACCCUGGUGGGAGGCCCAGAGUACGUGCACUGCCUGCUGCCACCGCUGGAGUCGCUGGCCACAGUGGAGGAGACAGUGGUGCGGGACAAGGCAGUGGAGUCCUUACGGGCCAUCUCACACGAGCACUCGCCCUCUGACCUGGAGGCGCACUUUGUGCCGCUAGUGAAGCGGCUGGCGGGCGGCGACUGGUUCACCUCCCGCACCUCGGCCUGCGGCCUCUUCUCCGUCUGCUACCCCCGAGUGUCCAGUGCUGUCAAGGCGGAACUUCGACAGUACUUCCGGAAC